rnacentral:rRNA from 1 species
GGGUGCAGCAGGCGCGAAAACUUCACAAUGGGGGCAACCCCGAUGAGGGAAUUCCAAGUGCUAGCACUUUUUGUGUUAGCUGUUCUCCUGUCUAAAAAACAGGAGAAGUAAGGGCCGGGUAAGACGGGUGCCAGCCGCCGCGGUAAUACCCGCGGCCCGAGUGGUGGUCGAUAUUAUUGAGCCUAAAACGUUCGUAGCCGGUCUUGUAAAUCCUUGGGUAAAUCGGCCAGCUUAACUGUCCGAAGUCCGGGGAGACUGCAAGACUUGGGAUCGGGAGAGGUCAGAGGUACUUCUGGGGUAGGGGUAAAAUCCUGUAAUCCUAGAAGGACCACCGGUGGCGAAGGCGUCUGACUAGAACGAAUUCGACGGUGAGGAACGAAGCCCUGGGGCGCAAACGGGAUUAGAUACCCCGGUAGUCCAGGGUGUAAACGCUGCGGGCUUGGUGUUGGGGGUCCUUAGUGGGCGCCCAGUGCCGGAGAGAAGUUGUUAAGCCUGCUGCUUGGGGAGUACGUCCGCAAGGAUGAAACUUAAAGGAAUUGGCGGGGGAGCACAAGGGCGAUUCGCG